rnacentral:rRNA from 1 species
GACGAACGCUGGCGGCGUGCCUAACACAUGCAAGUCGAGCGAGUGGAGUUCUUCGGAACAAAGCUAGCGGCGGACGGGUGAGUAACACGUGGGCAACCUGCCUCAUAGAGUGGAAUAGCCUCCCGAAAGGGAGAUUAAUACCGCAUAAGAUUGUAGCUUCGCAUGAAGUAGCAAUUAAAGGAGCAAUCCGCUAUGAGAUGGGCCCGCGGCGCAUUAGCUAGUUGGUGAGGUAACGGCUCACCAAGGCGACGAUGCGUAGCCGACCUGAGAGGGUGAUCGGCCACAUUGGGACUGAGACACGGUCCAGACUCCUACGGGAGGCAGCAGUGGGGAAUAUUGCACAAUGGGGAAACCCUGAUGCAGCAACGCCGCGUGAGUGAUGACGGCCUCGGUUGUAAGACUCUGUCUUCUAGGACGAAGUAAUAGACGGUACCGUCGAGGAGGAAGGACCGACCGGCUAACCUAACGUCGCCACGCAGCCGCGGU